rnacentral:tRNA from 1 species
CGGGGUGUAGCGCAGCCUGGAUUAGCGCGCUUGCUUGGGGUGCAAGAGGUCGCGAGUUCGAAUCUCGCCACCCCGA